rnacentral:rRNA from 1 species
GAUGAACGCUGGCGGCGUGCCUAAUACAUGCAAGUCGAGCGAACAGAUAAGGAGCUUGUUCCUUUGACGUUAGCGGCGGACGGGUGAGUAACACGUGGGUAACCUACCUAUAAGACUGGGAUAACUUCGGGAAACCGGAGCUAAUACCGGAUAAUAUUUCGAACCGCAUGGUUCGAUAGUGAAAGAUGGUUUUGCUAUCACUUAUAGAUGGACCCGCGCCGUAUUAGCUAGUUGGUAAGGUAACAGCUUACCAAGGCGACGAUACGUAGCCGACCUGAGAGGGUGAUCGGCCACACUGGAACUGAGACACGGUCCAGACUCCUACGGGAGGCAGCAGUAGGGAAUCUUCCGCAAUGGGCGAAAGCCUGACGGAGCAACGCCGCGUGAGUGAUGAAGGUCUUCGGAUCGUAAAACUCUGUUAUUAGGGAAGAACAUACGUGUAAGUAACUGUGCACGUCUUGACGGUACCUAAUCAGAAAGCCACGGCUAACUACGUG